rnacentral:lncRNA from 1 species
UCGUGCUUGGCUCAGAGCCGCUAUUGUCUGUAAAAUAUCUAACUACACUGCUAACGCUGUACAUACAGCUCACUCAUGCCCAGAAAGAGAGUAAAGCCAUGUCGAAACUCUAAAAUUCCUCGAGUGUUUUUCCAGCUACCUGCCACUCACCCACCAACUCCCCUCGGACUUCAAUUAGAACCUGAUAAUUGGCGUCACAAACAGGAUCCUGAGGUUAACAUGCUCCAACUGCAUCAUGAACUGGGCCCACACGUAGGCUGAGGUGACCAAUAUUUCCAACUGUUG